UACGAAGGGGGCUAGCGUUGCUCGGAAUCACUGGGCGUAAAGCGCACGUAGGCGGAUCCUUAAGUCGGGGUGAAAUCCUGGAGCUCAACUCCAGAACUGCCUUCGAUACUGAGGAUCUCGAGUCCGGGAGAGGUGAGUGGAACUGCGAGUGUAGAGGUGAAAUUCGUAGAUAUUCGCAAGAACACCAGUGGCGAAGGCGGCUCACUGGCCCGGUACUGACGCUGAGGUGCGAAAGCGUGGGGAGCAAACAGG
rnacentral:rRNA from 1 species